rnacentral:rRNA from 1 species
AUUGAACGCUGGCGGGAGGCCUAACACAUGCAAGUCGAGCGAGCGGCGGACGGGUGAGUAAUGUAUGGGGACUGCCCGAUAGAGGGGGAAAACUCUUCGAAACGGUGGCUAAUAUCCCAUACUGUCGGAUAACCCAUAUGGGAUUAGCUAGUAGGUCAGGUAAUGGCUUACCCAGGCGACGAUCCCUAGCUGGUCUGAGAGGAUGAUCAGCAACACUGGGACUGAGACACGGCCCAGAAUCCUACGGAGGCAGCAGUGGGGAAUAUUGCACAAUGGGCGCAAGCCUGAUACAGCCAUGCCGCGUGUAUGAAGAAGGCCCUAGGGUUGUAAAGUACUUUCAGUCGGGAGGCGUUACCGGCAGAAGAAGCACCGGCUAACUCCGUGCCAGCAGCCGCGGUAAUAC